UACAGAGGGGGCAAGCGUUGUUCGGAAUUACUGGGCGUAAAGGGCGCGUAGGCGGCCUGCUAAGUCGAACGUGAAAUCCCUCGGCUUAACCGGGGAACUGCGUCUGAUACUGGAUGGCUUGAGUGUGGGAGAGGGAUGCGGAAUUCCAGGUGUAGCGGUGAAAUGCGUAGAUAUCUGGAGGAACACCGGUGGCGAAGGCGGCAUCCUGGACCAUUACUGACACUGAAAAGCGAAAGCCAGGGGAGCAAACGGG
rnacentral:rRNA from 1 species